rnacentral:pre_miRNA from 1 species
AAAAUAUUCGGACCGUCGAUCUAUCGAGCAAUAACACCCGUUCGGUGGAAGAUCUUCCCUUAGUUUU